GACGUAGGUGGCGAGCGUUACUCGGAAUUACUAGGCGUAAAGCGCGUGUAGGCGGGUGCCUAAGUCCGUUGUUGAAUCUCCGGGCCCAACCCGGAAAUGUCAAUGGAUACUGGGCGUCUUGAGUGAGGCAGAGGAAGCUGGAAUUCCCGGUGUAGCAGUGAAAUGCGUAGAUAUCGGGAGGAACACCAGUGGCGAAGGCGGGCUUCUGGGCCUUUACUGACGCUAAGACGCGAAAGCUAGGGGAG
rnacentral:rRNA from 1 species